rnacentral:rRNA from 1 species
CCUACGGGGCGCAGCAGUGGGGAAUAUUGCACAAUGGGGGAAACCCUGAUGCAGCGACGCCGCGUGAGUGAAGAAGUAUCUCGGUACGUAAAGCUCUAUCAGCAGGGAAGAGAAAAAGUCUUUGGCUUUGGACGGUACCUGACUAAGAAGCCCCGGCUAACUACGUGCCAGCAGCCGCGGUAAUACGUAGGGGGCAAGCGUUAUCCGGAUUUACUGGGUGUAAAGGGUGCGCAGGUGGCAGGGCAAGUCAGAUGUGAAAGCCCGGGGCGCAACCCCGGUACUGCAUUUGAAACUGUCCAGCUGGG